CGCACUCACACUCUCUUCUUCAGGACACAUUCUCACACUAGAAUCAGAGCGCUCCAUCAACGGCCUCUUCCCUUCUGAACGAUGUUCCUUGCCGAAUUCAACCGCUAGAUAAUUACCAAGCAAUCGGAGGAAGAGAGAGCAGAAUCGAAAGGAGUUUCUCGCCUGAUCCCGGUGAUGAAAAAUAGAGAAGAGAAGAGAACGGCGAACUCUUAUGUCAUUGCGAUUGGUUCCGAUAACAGAGUGGGGAAGAACAAAGCAGUUGCUCUUGAUGAAAUAAUUGCUUGGGCAAAAGAGAAACAGUUGGUCCUGUCAAUUCAGGCCGGUGGGAGAUUUUCGCAUCUGCUAGGAAUACUGGUCAUGAUGAUGAACGAACGAUAUGAGAUAUAUACUAGUGUCUGAUUGAGUCUGGGGCAAAAUGAUGGUAAUCAAUUUGUUGAAAUCGAAGGACGGUCCAGUUCAUGUAAAGUUUGUUGUAAACAAUUAGGGAUGCAUGAU